rnacentral:rRNA from 1 species
CGAGGGGCAGCACAGGUAGCAAUACUGGGUGGCGACCGGCAAACGGGUGCGGAACACGUACGCAACCUUCCUUCAAGCGGGGAAUAGCCCAGAGAAAUUUGGAUUAAUACCCCAUAAGAAUGUGACCUGGCAUCAGGUAGCAUUUAAAGAUUUAUCACUUGAAGAUGGGCGUGCGUCUGAUUAGGUAGUUGGUGAGGUAACGGCUCACCAAGCCGACGAUCAGUAACUGGCGUGAGAGCGCGACCAGUCACACGGGCACUGAGACACGGGCCCGACUCCUACGGGAGGCAGCAGUAAGGAAUAUUGGUCAAUGGACGCAAGUCUGAACCAGCCAUGCCGCGUGGAGGAUGAAGGCCCUCUGGGUUGUAAACUUCUUUUAUUUGGGACGAAACACUUCUUWUCUAAGGAGCUUGACGGUACCAGAUGAAUAAGCACCGGCUAACUCCGUGCCAGCAGCCGCGGUAAUACGGAGGGUGCAAGCGUUAUCCGGAUUCACUGGGUUUAAAGGGUGCGUAGGCGGACAUGUAAGUCCGUGGUGAAAUCUCUAAGCUUAACUUGGAAACUGCCAUGGAUACUAUAUGUCUUGAAUGUUGUGGAGGUUAGCGGAAUAUGUCAUGUAGCGGUGAAAUGCAUAGAUAUGACAUAGAACACCAAUUGCGAAGGCAGCUGGCUACACAAAUAUUGACGCUGAGGCACGAAAGCGUGGGGAUCAAACAGGAUUAGAUACCCUGGUAGUCCACGCCCUAAACGAUGAUUACUCGACAUACGCGAUACACAGUGUGUGUCUGAGCGAAAGCAUUAAGUAAUCCACCUGGGAAGUACGACCGCAAGGUUGAAACUCAUAGGAAUUGACGGGRGUCCGCACAAGCGGUGGAGCAUGUGGUUUAAUUCGAUGAUACGCGAGGAACCUUACCUGGGCUAGAAUGCAGUCUGACUGAUGCUGAAAGGUGUCUUUGUAGCAUACACAGAUUGUAAGGUGCUGCAUGRCUGUCGUCAGCUCGUGCCGUGAGGU